rnacentral:rRNA from 1 species
AUUGAACGCUGGCGGCAUGCUUUACACAUGCAAGUCGAACGGUAACAGGGAGCUUGCUCCGCUGACGAGUGGCGAACGGGUGAGUAAUGCGUCGGAACGUGCCGAGUAGUGGGGGAUAACGCAUCGAAAGGUGUGCUAAUACCGCAUACGAACUGAGGUUGAAAGUGGGGGACCUUCGGGCCUCACGCUAUUCGAGCGGCCGACGUCUGAUUAGCUAGUUGGUGAGGUAAAGGCUCACCAAGGCGACGAUCAGUAGCGGGUCUGAGAGGAUGAUCCGCCACACUGGGACUGAGACACGGCCCAGACUCCUACGGGAGGCAGCAGUGGGGAAUUUUGGACAAUGGGCGCAAGCCUGAUCCAGCCAUGCCGCGUGCAGGAUGAAGGCCUUCGGGUUGUAAACUGCUUUUGUACGGAACGAAAAGGUUUGGCCUAAUACGCUGAACUCAUGACGGUACCGUAAGAAUAAGCACCGGCUAACUACGUGCCAGCCGCCGCCGUAACAC